GAAUAUUUCCAUUCACAACGGAUCGUCGGGCACGUACCUGCCCGUGAAAAGGAUAAGAGAAAA
rfam:Arthrobacter sp. Soil782 contig_11, whole genome shotgun sequence.